AUAAGGGACUAACCUUGAGCAGACAAGAGAAUUUCGGUAAUCUUCGAAAUUACUUAUCCGAUUCCAAAAAAUAUUUUACCAAUAGGAAGCUACAAUAGCGAGUGUGAUCUUAUGUUAAAACAACAAAUUUUCCGUUGACGAAGUCGCGGGCAAAACCUGGUUCAAAAUAUAUAGAAUUUUCUAGCGUCCGAUAUUAUUAUAUCGUACGUUAUGUUGUAAUAGGCUAAUAAUAACUAACGUAAACCAUUAUAUAAAGGGUUAAUAAUGACUAGCGACAUUCAGUACUUACUUACCGCGCGGCAGAGUGGACAAGUCCCGCACAAGAUGAAGUCGUGCACAAUAUUGUUCCUGCUCAUUGUCGCACUCUGUGCCAUCCCGUCUUGCAUCGACGCGGAAUUUAUUUCAGCGACCUGCAGCAAAAUAAAAUUGGCAUACUUUAGACAACAAUUAUUAAGAACCGGGUUCAGCGAAGAAGAAAUUAGAAAAAUGAUAAGAUGUUAAAGUGAUAAAGGAUUUUUGUUCAAAAACUUUACAGGAGACGGGAUUUUUACCAUGUUUAUUAAUCUUUGUGAGUUUCCGAUAUUUCGGCACUGUUGCAAGCGCCAUGAUCACGGAUGAACUGGAGUAUACGCAGGUGGAAGUUUAUGAUAAACAUGGUAAAUAUUCCGUUUUAAGUUCUAAUGAUAUUAUUACCAGUGACCAUGUCAGUUUAAAAACUUUUAGUCUUUGAGCUUAUGGUCCAUUUAAACCGCUACUAAAUAAAGCACAUGCGACGUUUUUAUAUGUGCAAUAGAUUAGAUGCAAGCUAUAGUGCUAUUCCACCAAAGAUGUGCUAUGUAGUUAAACUACGAAGAUUUGCCGGUAGCUGUGCGAGUAAAAUCCGCAGCUCGAGUAUGCAAUGUGUCGAUAGUAGGGAAGCCAUCCAUUGCACGCGUCUUUCCAUAUAAAAAAACAUAGCUUAGCUAAGUCGGGUCCCACCAGUGCUAAGCUAUGUGACUAUGUAUACCAAUGAGUAUGAUUGGUGGAAGCCAAAGGCAUCCACAGCAACGUAGCAAAGCACAUCUCUGGUGGAAAUGCACCCUCAAUGAUGAAGCAUUUUUUGUCUGAUCAUUUUGGUACCCUUUCUUACUAGAGCUAGCCUAGGGCCGCAAAAAUAUGAAGGCAAUAUUUUCGGUUUAUGUAUGAAUAAAAUAUUGAAAAUAAAUAUAUGUUUUCUAAGCA